UUCACUGUAGAAAUGGAUUUUGUCUUGCUCCGAGAAUCCUGUUCGUUCCAGUUGGGUUCUGUUAGUUUUUUGUGGUGAGGGAAAAGCAUUUCAACAAUCCCUACCCUUCUGCUGGAAAAUACGUCUCACCCUGGUCUGUUAUCUUCUUUUUGUGUAGAGUGAGCAGCAGCUGGAGAAAAAUGCAUUGUCCCAGGACACCGAGGACACCAUCUUAGGAAGUGACUCCCGUGUGGGAGAGCAGGCCACAGCGGGAUGGCUACAGAGGGCAUUUUCCAGUUCAGCAAAGGUGUAUCUGGCUUCCUCUGUCCCCUGUUGCAGAAUUCCUAGCUUCCGUGGUUGCAUCCAGAGAUCUUACAGCUUCUGCGUAGCUCUCUUGGAAUGCUCACUCUGGGGGAAUCCAGCCACAGUGAUAGAAGAUAUCUGACUACCCCGGGACUACCUUGCCGUGAGGAAACCCAAGGUAGCCAUACGGAGAAGCCAUGUGGACAGAGACUCAACUAAUAAGAAGAAAAAAGAGAGACGACCAUUUAUGGAGUGCUUGCUGCGUGCCCGGCGUGUCACAGCCUUCUCCUGAACAUUGUUGCGUUCCCAUUUUACAGAGGAGAAAUCCAAGGCUCCGAGAGGGGAAAGUGCUUCAGACAGAAGACCACAUGGAGUCUUGUGCAGGCCCUGUCCAAACCACCCCUGCCCUAGGAGCUGCACAAAAUGCCCAUGCUAUUCCUCCCUUGCUUGGAUGAUGACAGGUG